UUUUGUGAAGGUAUGGUGAGUAAGAUUGCUGACUUUGAGUUUGUUAGGGAUAUCAAAGAGAAGCUUUGCUACAUAAGGUUAGUGAAUAUCAUCAUAGUUUGGUUUGCUUUUAUGGAAUUUGAGAUUGUUCUAUAUUUCUCUCUGUUUUGCAACACCUGAAGAAUUCAUGUUUAGUAGAUUUUUAUGACAAUUAGAUUCAAUGGUCAGUGUUUCAGUCUAAUUUGGUGAAGAUGUUAUGCUGUACUUAAUUUUCUUAAAUUGUUGUCCAUGAAGUUUUGAGAUUACUAGUUUCAAUUGUUGUCAAUUGUGGAUGCCAAAGACUUAAUUUUUAUGUGGUUUUCAUGCCUUUUUUAGGUUAUCCUUUUGAAAGCAAUCUGUGAUCUGUACUGUUGCUUUCCACUUGAUAGUGCAAAGGCACAAUUUAUUCAUGUCGUAGAUUGUGAGGAAAUUUCUGCUUAACUAUUCCAUUUUGUAUAGCUCAAUUUUUAUGUUGGGUCCAACAUUCUUGAAAUUUUAUUGCCGGGCCUAACAUUCCUAGUCAAACAUUCCUGGUCAAUUUGUAGAACAUUUCUACUUGAUUUAAUGCCAAGCCCAAAUUUCUUCAUUACUUUGAUAGUGGAAGCACUGGAAGCGGUGGCAACAAUAGAAGCAGGAAAGAGGAGAGCAUGUUCCGCCAGAAGAUUCCUUUGAAGUAGCUUGAAAAGUGAAGGAAACAUAUUGCUACACUAGUUCCUAUAUUGUCAAGGAGUUCAAUAAGUAUGACAGAGAACUAGCUAAAUACAUCAAGCAAUAUAAAGGAAUCAAACCAAGGACGGGCACCAUACUCUUGUGAUAUCGGCUAUGAACAAUUUCUUGGGCCUGAGGAUGAAUGUGUACUAAUAUGGUUCUCGGGGAAAGAGGAGAAACACCUCAAACUAAGUCACAUGUCUAAAAUCAUUUCAGGGCAGCGCACUGUAAGUUUCUUGCUGUGAUGACAAUAUCGUUGUAUAACUACUCUGUAUACACUUUAAAGCUUAUGAAGGAAUAGUAAAUAUUCAUUGAUGUUGAAGGCUACAGUGGGGCUGAGUAGAGUGUUAGAUUGCUGAAGUUUUACAUAAUCCUCAUCUUAUUGCAGCAUCCAUGAGAAAUUAAUGGCAUACCUAUUUUUCCACCGUUCUGCCCUAACUAACGUAAUUUGGUACCCUUGAGUUCUUUUACUCCAUGCAGAAUCUGUUUGUUUAUUGCACCAUUGUAAUUGAUAAUGGUUUUUGUGCGCUUGGUUAAGUUGUGAUAAUGUAAUAAUCACAGUUCUACAGUGCUAUGCUGAGAAGCAUGGACACUUCUCUGGUUAAGUUCUAAAUGCAAUGUUGUACAUUGAAACUUCUUUCUAAUUGCCUCAAUAAUUUUCGUGUGUAUUUUAAUCAAAUCAGGGGCAUGACACUGAAACUAAUAAAAGUGAUAAGCCUUUUGAUCCAUUUGUUUUUUCUGUUUUAAAAAAAUGGUACACCCAGUUUAGUUCCCAUUGGAUGGAAGUCUCGAAUAAUUUUGUUUAUCUAGUGUUCUCACAUUAUAUUUAACUCUUUGCAUCAACUUGAUGCUUUUUUAAUAAAGUUUUCUUAUUUAUCAAAAAAAAAAAA